GGGGGGGGCAAGCGUUGUUCGGAAUUACUGGGCGUAAAGGGCGCGUAGGCGGCCUGCUAAGUCGGACGUGAAAUCCCCCGGCUCAACCGGGGAACUGCGUCCGAUACUGGUGGGCUCGAAUCCGGGAGAGGGAUGUGGAAUUCCAGGUGUAGCGGUGAAAUGCGUAGAUAUCUGGAGGAACACCGGUGGCGAAGGCGGCAUCCUGGACCGGCAUUGACGCUGAGGCGCGAAAGCCAGGGGAGCAAACGGGAUUAGAUACCCCGGUAGUCCUGGCCCUAAACGAUGAGUGCUUGGUGUGGCGGGUAUCGAUCCCUGCCGUGCUGAAGCUAACGCAUUAAGCACUCCGCCUGGGGAGUACGGUCGCAAGGCUG
rnacentral:rRNA from 1 species